GGCACCUCCCGGCGGGCCAUGCAGUCGCGGGGCAGCCUGGGACUGGUAGUCUCGGCCCGGGGUCGCAACGGCUCCGGCGCUGGACGUACAUUGAUCGUUUUGCCCUUCUAGAAACCAAGGGUCCUCUCCCCAGAUCUCCAGUUCUGAAAUGAAGAUCUCGACUGAGAAGUCGCUAUUGAGUCAAUAGAAAACUGAUUUGCAAAGGAGGAAAGAAGGUGGCUUGCUGUGGAGCGUCCGGUCGGCUCUGAAGAACUCUGCUCAGGGGAAGGGUCUAUCUCAUUCGCAGAUUGCUCAUCUGCUCUCUUUUUGGUCGGCACAGUAGCAGAGCCCUCCUCCACUAUUCCUGAGCCAACCUAAACCUGCCCUGGUACUGACGGCAAAGUGAGUCAUGAGUUUUCAUCCUGUCCUUUGUCAAGUAACACAUCAGAGACCUGCUGGCAGAGCUGGGAGUUCAAGUACUUCAGGACUGUGGAAUGAUCUGAGGCUGUGCAUAAAAUAUUCCUGUUUCUCAGUACUCAAAGUAGUGAGAAAACAUCUCACCAGUUUCCCAGGUCAGGAUGAACUACAGUGAAGGCUGACUGGAGAGCCUUGAAGUUACUAGAAUGUAUCUCCCGACUCAGAAGUGUUCCAUCUCCUGCCAAUACUCCACAGAAGCUUCCUGGUCAGAUUCCCAAACCACACACAGCCCUUCAGUGUGACCUGGAGAGUAGUCAUUCUGCCAAAGCCCUGGAAGGCUUGCAGGGACAGACAACUGCCCAGGGAGAGACGUCUCCAAACCACAACAUCCACCAAAAAGCUGGUCACUCCUAUCUCGUAAUCAAGCUCACACUGACUCCCCUGCACUUGGAAACUACUUCCUUUAACUGAGAAGGGACAACACCGGCAACAUCCCCACCAUCCAUAAAGAGGCACUGGUCCUCCUGGGUCCAGACGUCCCUUCAUAGCAGCAUCUCCCUAAGUGUCCAGGAGACAGCCCAAGCAAGGGAGGUGGUGAAGGGGAGCAGCCAAAUCGGGACUUCUGCCAGAGCCCCUACAGGAAGGGGGCCGUCAAGGGCUAAUCUAUAAUACUGCAUCAUGACCAAGAACAGUCAGCAGGAACGGACCAAGAGGUGCUCAGGAGCCAUUUGCCUCGGCCCAACAGAGUUGCACUGAACUGUAUCUCAGAAAUAAAAUGGUAAAGUCCCCUGAAAAGGGAACACUUCAUUAAAAAAAUAAUAAUACAGAAAAACCAGCAAAUGAAUGCCGAUUUGUUUUCUGCUCUUGUUCAACUGUAGUGGAAACGACUCUAAGAGCACAGCAAGAGACUACUGUUCCCACCCCUCAGCCUUGUGCAUCCAGAUGCCCACCCAUCUCCUCCUCCCCCUUGGUACCCUGCUUCCCACUGCUGUCAGUUAGGGCCCCCCUUCUGCUUAGCCAGGGUACACUUCAGCUCCCGAAGGUUCUCUGUCAGCACUUCAACCUCGUCCAUUCGACCACACUGCUUGGCAUCAAAGAUGUAAGCCUUGAUGUUGUCGAUCUGCUGCAGGAGCAGCUCCUCCUCGAUGUGCUCCUCAGCCUCUGUGCCACUGUCACUGUCCACCUCGAAGGGGUUGGUGCAUGGGCCCUCCUCAAAAGGGUUUCCAGGGGCAGGUGGGCUGGCAGGCCUGGGAUGGUCAUCCUCAUCAAAGGGGUUGGGUGCUGCACUGUCUGAGUCAGUGAAGGGAUUCCCUACCCCCAGCUCUGCCACCUCCUCUUCCUCAGCAUCUUCCUCAAAAGGAUUGUAUUCUCUGGUGACAGCAGCUGAAGGGCCCGGGAAAGCCUCUGCAGCAGCAGGGCUGGCAGCACCCUCUGUAGGGCUGGCAAGAUCUUCAUCAAACGGGUUGAGAGAGGUCUUAUCACUCUGUUGGGAUUCGGUGCUCUGGAGGAGUAGUUCCUGACCAAGGGCUGGGGGUCCAGACCACAAGUGAACGGGUGCUCGAGCUGAGCCAGGUGAGAGGGUGUCUGGAGCAGCGCUGCCAAGAACUGGGGAGGAAUCCGGAUCCAAGGCAUAGGCCAGAUCGCUGUGAGGCCCGCGGCUGGGCUCCAACUGAAAGGGUAUGACUUCGCGGAGGUCCAGCGCACGAGUCCGUGUGUGCAGGGAUGCCGCCAGGAACUGCUCCUGUUCUCGCUCCAGCUCCCGUCUCCGAAGCAUCUGCAGCUGCUCCCGCUGCAGCUCCUCCUCCUCAGCCUGCCUCCGGGACAGCUCAAUGGCCUUCUCCGUCUGCUGCUGGUCAUACUCAUCCUGCAGCUGCCGCAGGUUCUCCUGCAGUGUGCGCACCUCAUCCGUGCGGCCUGCGGCUUUGGCCUGCCUGAUGAAGGACGUAAUGUUGUAGAUCUGCUGGAGGAGAGGGUCAGGGUCUUCACUCUGUCCCUGACCUUCUGACAGGGGGAGCCAGCCCUCAGCUUUUCGCAAGGGGACAGGGAUGCCUCGGAGAGACCUCACUUCCCCAUUGGCUGCAGGAGAUGCCAAACCACUCUGCCUUUCCUCCAGCUUCCGCCGGGACUCCAGAGCAGCCUGCAGAGACAGCACACACCACCAGCGUCACCAUGGUCACCAAGCCAGCAGUCCUCCCUGUCUGCCACCCUCCAUGGGUGGCAUGGUCCCCACAACACUAGGAUAAUUCGACUGCUGAAACAAGGUAGUCAUAGAAGGACAGGCUUAGAUUUCCAAAAAUAAAACAUAAGUUGAGAA